rnacentral:lncRNA from 1 species
AGUAAUGAAAUUAUUUAUAAAUAAAUAAAAGAAAACAUGUUAAUUAAAAAGCAAUAUAAAUAUAUUUUUGGAAAAACUUCAAAAACAUCUCAUGUGGUUUCGCACUUUUUCAUUUUAGUACCCUAUGGUUUAAAGUAAAUCAAGUUAGUACUCUGUGGUUUCUCAUUUUAUCACUUUAGUACCCUGUGAUUUAAAGUGUAUCAAAUUAGUACUUUGUAAUUUUAUUUUUGUAUCAAGUUAGUAUCUUGUGGUUUAUUUUUGUAUCAAGUUAGUACCCUGUGGUUUUUAAACCAUAGGAUACUAAAGUGAUAAAGUGCAAAAUUACAGGAUACUAACUUGAUACCCUUUAAACCAUAGGAUACUAGAGUAAAAAAGUGCAAAAUCAUAUUGUACUAACUUGAUAUAUUUUAAAUCACAGAUUACUAAAGUGAGAAAAUGUGAAACUACAGGAGAGUAUUUGAAGUUUUUUCUAUAUUUUUUGAGCAAAUAUGUGGAUCUCAUUCCAAAAAAUCUUCUGAAGCCAUU